GGCAGAUGAUGUUUGUUAUUUUCACGAUGGUCUUCAGAUGCCCACCCCGGGCACUGCUGAGAAAGCAGUUGGCACAGCUGAUGCCAGGAG
ensembl:snoRNA SNORD35B small nucleolar RNA, C/D box 35B